CGGGGUGUAGCGCAGUUUGGCUAGCGCGCAGCGUUCGGGACGCUGAGGUCGCCGGUUCAAGUCCGGCCACCCCGACCA
rnacentral:tRNA from 2 species